GGGGCUGUAGCUCAAGGGUAGAGCAGCUGCCUUUUAAGCAGUUGGUUGGAGGUUCGAGUCCUCCCAGCCUCA
rnacentral:tRNA from 1 species